CAGUCGCCGCGGGAAUACGGAGGGGGCUAGCGUUGUUCGGAAUUACUGGGCGUAAAGCGCACGUAGGCGGCUUGGUAAGUUAGAGGUGAAAGCCUGGAGCUCAACUCCAGAAUUGCCUUUAAGACUGCCGAGCUAGCAGGUGAGAGAGGUAAGUGGAAUUCCGAGUGUAGAGGUGAAAUUCGUAGAUAUUCGGAAGAACACCAGUGGCGAAGGCGGCUUACUGGCUCAUACUGGACGCUGAGGUGCGAAAGCGUGGGGAGCAAACAGGAUUAGAGACCCCCGUAGUCCCUGUCUCUUAUAC
rnacentral:rRNA from 1 species